UACAGAGGGCGCGAGCGUUGUCCGGAAUCACUGGGCGUAAAGGGCGCGUAGGUGGCCACUAUAAGGCCGCGGUGAAAGUUCGGGGCUCAACCCUGAAUCUGCCGCGGCGACUGUAGGGCUAGGGCACCGUAGAGGCAGAUGGAAUUCCGGGUGUAGCGGUGGAAUGCGUAGAGAUCCGGAAGAACACCAGUGGCGAAGGCGGCCUGCUGGGCAGUUGCUGACGCUGAGGCGCGACAGCGUGGGGGAGCAAACAGG
rnacentral:rRNA from 1 species